rnacentral:lncRNA from 1 species
GGUAAGCAAAAGUACACAUUUGAGAGCGUACGAGACCCUCUUGAACUGGUGUACCAAGGUAUUGACCUUCACAUUCCAAAGGCAUUUAUCAGUAGAGAUGAUAGCAUUAGUGUUGCAAAAGUAGUUCAAAAGGCUAGAGAAGAAUCACAAACUGCAGUUUUGGAUACUUCUACUAGUGAUAAACCAGGCAGUAUGAGUGGCAGCAUGGACAGACAUAAAGAAUCACAAACUGCAGCUUUGGAUACUUCUACUAAUGAUAAACCUGGCAGUAUGAGUGGCAGCAUGGACAGCCAUCAAGAUGACGGUUUUCUUUUAUCAUCCGAGUACUUCACGAUCAGAAAGCAAUCCCCAA